AAGAUCCAACAGACUUCUGCAAAAAAUCCAGAAAAACAGGCUUUCAUAAUUUCCCCCUGCUAAUGGCUAAUUCAGGAAAGAAGAAUUUGCAUCUUUCUGCUUUGUGUUUCCCUGAGCAGAGAGUGAGUGGGGUGUGAUGGCGAAGAACAGAUGGAUCCAACCCUAGAGAACCUUUUCUGCUGCGAUCCCCAGUGUGAGCGAUCGAGGAGGAAGAGAGGGAACC
ensembl:lncRNA